ensembl:lncRNA
UUGAACUUUAUCUGUUUUAUUGAUUUACUCUAGUGAAUUUUUAUAAAAGAUACAGCAGUAGGUCAUCUAUGAGGGGUAUUCUGUGAAAAUAAGAGCAAUCAAAGAAAAUAUGAGGUAGACACUUUUUAUAUCUGCUCUUCUCAUCUGGUUUUCUUUAUGAAUAUUUUCCUUUGACCCUUUUUCAACAGAUCUGUAGCUCAGAAUUAUAAUACAUGCCUUGGAAACAAAGGAAUAGAAAAUAGAAAGAGAAUAUAUGUUAUAUAUAUAUUUAUAUAUGCAUUUUUUCUUUCUUGGAGUGACUUCCUAAUUUAUGUUUGUGGGAAGUCAUGAAAUAUAAUAAAAUCGCUGCUUAUGAACAAGUAAAACUAAAUGCAGAUUGCUACAGUGGUUUUGAAGACAGAGCAGAUGGGCCAGUCUAGCCCGGCUCCUAGAAGGGUGUUGACCUGAAUUCAGAAGCUCAUGAGGGGCCUGGACCAGCGGAGGGACAGAGGUGGCCUCUAAAGGUAGAAAGGCCACAAGAAAACGCAAGUCAAAUUUGUUGGUCUUCAUGCAGAUUUUAUUAGAAUCAAUUAGAAUUUUGUUUUCCUAAUGAGUUUGUGUCUGUUCUUUCAGUGCCAUUUUAUCAGUGUCUUUAUUCUCACUGCAGAAACCGAGCCGAGACGUAAUGCACGUGAUGGCUGCACACUUCUGUGGGAAUCCUUGUGCAGUGCGUUUUGGCCAAGACCAUGAUAUUAAUAACCCAUAGUAUUCCAGCACGAAAAUUCUUGAAAAAGUCUUUCCCAGCAUACAGUGGCACGCAGUGAAUGUUUGUGGAUGGAAUCUUGGCAGCAUUUCUGCCCUCCCCCCGCUCCUGGCCUCCACUCACACAGGGUCUGCUUGGACACUUGCAUGGCCAAGCCUCUGAGAAAGGAGAUGUCCACACUGGGAGGAAGAUGAAGUUAUAUAGAAUUCCCUAUCAUGUAUGGAUGUGAGAGCUGGACCGUAAAAAAGACUGAGUGCCAAAGUUGAUGCUUUUGAAUUGUGGUGCUGGAGAAGACUCUUAAGAGUCCCUUGGAUAGCAAGGACAUCAAGCUAGUCAAUCCUAAAGGAAAGCAUCCCUGACUCUUCAUUGGAAGGACUGAUACAGAAGCUAAAGUUCCAAUACUUUGGCCACCUGAUGCAAAGACUCAUAGGAAAGACUGAAGGCAAGAGGAGGAUGGGGCGGCAGAGGAUGAGAUGGUUGGAUGGCAUCACCAACUCAUUGGACGUGAGUUUGAGCAAACUCUGGGAGAUAGCAAAGGACAAGGAAGCCUGGUGCGCUGCAAUCUUCGGGGUGGCAAAGAGUUAGAGACACAACUUAGAGACAGAACAACAGCAAUGAGAACCUACUGUGCAGCACAGGAACUCUACUCAGUGCUCUGUGGUGACCUAAAUGGGAAGGAAGUCCAAAAGGGAGGCGAUAGGUGUAUAUGUAUGGCUGGUUCAUUUUGUUGUACAGCAGAAACUAACACAGCAUUAUAAAGCAACUACACUCCAAUAAAAAUUAAUUUAAACAAAUAAAGCACUGUAUUGUUGAAGGUAUGCUGUUGCUGCUGCUGCUGCUAAGUUGCUUCAGUCGUGUCCGACUCUGUGCGACCCCAUAGACGGCAGCCCAUGAGGCUCCUCCAUCCAUGGGAUUCUCCAGGCAAGAACACUGGAAUGGGUUGCCAUUGUCUUCUUCCGUUGAAGAACCACAGGCAAGUCUGAGAAGGGUGGACCCUUGAAAGGGAAGAGAAAAUGGAGUGAUUCACAGCAAUUCCAGAGAGCUGAAUGCUGGCCAGUGGACACAAGUAUAAGGAGACAGUUUUACUCCAGCCUAAGGAAAGUCUUCCCUGGUGGCUCAAACGGUAAAGAAUCUACCUGCAGUGCAGAAGACCUGGGUUUGAACCCUGAGUUGGGAAGAUCCUCGCUACCCACUCCAGUAUUCUUGUCUGGAGAAUCCCACGGACAGCAGAGCCUGGCAGUCAACAGUCCAAGGGGUUGAAAACAGUCGGACACAACGGAGCAACUUUCACUUACAGAUAUUUAGAAAAAAACUGUUAACUUAAAACAAUGAGUAACAUGGACAUAACAAGCGCCAUGUAGAUAGCAUCACUGACUCAAUGGACAUGAAUCUGAGCCAACUCCAGGAGACAGUGAAGACAGGGAGACCUGGUAUGCUGCAGUCCAUGGGGUCGCAGUCAGACACGACGGAACGUCUGAACAGCAGCAGCUGUCUCUUAAAGAUGGAUAAAGGACAUAUGUUCUAAGGUGUCUGAGGGACACCAGAGAUCUUUUCUGAGGGCCUCUUCUCCCCUAAGCAGCAAACAAGGUGGACACGGGUGCCGCCUACACACGUCUCAGAUCUCGGGCUGGAGGAGGAGUCAGGCAGGUGCCCAGCGUGGCCUGGAGAGGACUUCGGGCACGGGGACUCAGGGCCGGGGCUCCCGUGGCAUCUGGAACCCGGGGCCCUGGGCUGUACGAUUCCCACCCUGGUCCCCAGUGCUGCAGGCACUCAGGCUCCGCUGAUUUCAUCUGGAGCAGUGGUUCAUUACAGCCCCCGACUCACACAUUUGCUCAUUCACUUAACUUUACUAACAGGUAAGAACCUAGAGCUUCUGAGUACAAAAGCAUAUAUAUUUCUAAAUUGCCCAAUAAAAGCUUUAUUCAGUUGGAA